UCAAAUAUGUACUUGGCAUAUACAGCACAGUUUAAUUCAUAACAUAUACAACAGUUUAAUUGUGUUCUUCCUCCUAACAUGUGUGGGUCAGGCUGACUUCUGAAACACUCCUGCUUUAGGAGGAAAAGCUCAGCUGCACUCGGACAGUUUUUCGCUGGGACUCAGAAUAAUGCUGCUUUGGACCACUCUGUACAAGGUAUCUGAUAGUUGAAAACCAGGUGACUGACCCACUUGCUUUGAGCAGUUUCAUGGGCGCUUUCGUAAUUGGUAUUUGGUGUUCCUCUUAUUCAGAGACCUGUGACAACUUUGCUUGGUGCACUGUUCCAAAGGCUCUGCAGUAAAUGGCUGAUGAUGAAGCCUUCCAAGGAUCCAUUGAGGACACCAUGGUAGGAAUAGUACAUUGUCAGACCAGGAGAGGCCACCAGUAAACCAGAGGACAUCGGGGUUGUCCUUGAAGGCCAGAUGGUACUGCAGGAUCUGGACAAUGUUGCUUUUGGUGUUGCAGUGUUGUUGGGCUUAAUGUAUGCUUUGAACCUCAGCUGCCCCACUGAACUGAAGUAUACCUUUGAAGUGCUCCAGAAAGUUGUGAUGGAGCUCGACAGUGACACUCUCUAAGAAAGCCCAAGUUCUUAAAAAAAAACUGUAUCAGUGAGCUGUUGCCAGAUAUGACGUGGGUGAGACAACAGUUCACCGUGUUUGCUCCUUGGGAUACAGAACAUUGUUGCUGUUUGGUUGCAUUGAUGAUGCUUUGUGCACUGACAGAACUCACUUGCACUGCCUUUAUAUUUGCUACAUCAUAUUUAGUUUAAAAAUGGGGAGCCUUGCGUGGAGCAUUGCUUAGCUUUAACACUUCUGGACCCCAGUCUACCAUGUUAGUCCGUUGGAAUAUGGACUGUUUAUUGCACUAGUACUGGACUGAAAUGUUCCAACUCACAUAUUGCCACAUUAUUUUCAUGUAUGUUUUUGGUAAUAUUUGUUUAUUACGUGUGCUUACAAAUUGGAUGUCAGAAGUGUUUGUGUUACUCUGACUGUUGUUUUUUUGCUCCACGCUCUUUAUAACAAUUGUUGAUAUUGUAAAGGGAAAGGCUACUUUGUUGUGAUUAUUGCCAUUUGUUUUUGUCCGCACAUACCCCAUUGUGAUGCAUUGUUACCUCCGCCAAGGAGGUUCUGUUUUUGCUGGCGUUAGUUUGUCUGUUUGUCUGUCUGUUUGCAAGAUAACUCAAAAAGUUAUGGACGGAUUUGGAUGAAAAUUUCAGGAAAUGUUGAU